UUGAGGAAGUAAAAGUCGUAACAAGGUCUCCGUAGGUGAACGUUCGGAGGGAUCAUUACAGAGUUUUUAACUCGUAAAACCAUGUGAUCUUACCACUGUUUCCUCGGUGGAAGGUACCCGGAAGGGUGUUGGAAGCCGGUGGACAUUUAGACUCUUGUUAAUUUUGUUAGUUCUGAAUCAAUCUACCAGAACUAAUUUAAAACUUUCAACAACGGAUCUCUUGGUUCUGGCAUCGAUGACAGAACGCAUCGAAAUGCGAUAAGUGAUGUGAAUUGCAUAAUUCGAGUGAAUCGUCUUCUGCUUUGAACGCACAUUGCGCCCAUUCAGUAUUCUAUUGGGCAUGCCUGUUCAGAAGCGUCAUUUCAACCGUUGAACGUAGCUAUAUUGUUGGGAGGUUGGCUAAUGACUCAGACUCCUCUAAACCAGAUGGCAGAUGUUUUACCGUGCUUCUGAGCGCCGUAACGGGUUCUAUUCUCGCUUUUGAGGACGUCGAUACGGUGAGAUCCUGAAAGCCGCUUGCUUCGGCAGCACUUUUUUAAUGGUUGACCUCUGAUCAGGUAAGAAUACCCGCUGAACUUAACCUUAUCAA
rnacentral:rRNA from 1 species